rnacentral:lncRNA from 1 species
AUGGCAGACAAGGAACUGUAUUCUGUCAGAAGUAAUGAAAACAUACAGGAAAUGAAAACUGGAAGAUGUUCAAUCUUCAUUCAAGGAAAACCAACUGAUUUAUCAGAUASCAACCUGAGCAGUGAUUCAGAAGACAUCUCAGCCUGUGAUUCUUAUAAUGAUUCACGAAGUGAGGAAUUUCUGAACCAUGAGACUGAAAAUUACAAGACAUUCAAUACAAGAUUACAUGGAGAGAGAAAAGGAAUUAGACACAGAUGCACUAGAGGAAGCAAAAAUCAAUUUAAACUCAGGAAUUACAAAGAGUUUGCUCAGUCUUGUGCCCUAUGUAGAAAUAAAAAUUCCAGUUUAACUUCUUAUUCACAGAAGAGAAUCUACACUCAAAAGGCUUACAGAAGUAAUCAACCACAUCAACUUGUAAAUAGACUUUCUGAAAGGCAAAAGGUGGAGACUGCCAAAACCUGCUAUUCAAGCACGUAUGAUACAGUUACCCUUUCACCUCAAUACCUACCCAGAAAGACGACUCCUGGAAGCAAAUCGGCAGUCAACAUCAGAAGUAGAAAUGUGAGCGAUCCCAAUGCAAACAUUUUAAGUUCUACUCUGGAUCAUGCCAUACAGACAGCAAACAGUUUGAAGAAAACUACAGAACGAAUGGUACAAGCAGUUUCAGAAGAUCUAGCUAAAGUUAGAAGCAAACAGCUUUAA